rnacentral:rRNA from 1 species
ACUACGUGCCAGCAGCCGCGGUAAUACGUAGGUGGCAAGCGUUGUCCGGAAUUAUUGGGCGUAAAGGGCUCGCAGGCGGUUUCUUAAGUCUGAUGUGAAAGCCCCCGGCUCAACCGGKGAGGGUCAUUGGAAACUGGGAAACUUGAGUGCAGAAGAGGAGAGUGGAAUUCCACGUGUAGCGGUGAAAUGCGUAGAGAUGUGGAGGAACACCAGUGGCGAAGGCGACUCUCUGGUCUGUAACUGACGCUGAGGAGCGAAAGCGUGGGGAGCGAACAGGAUUAGAUACCCUGGUAGUCCACGCCGUAAACGAUGAGUGCUAAGUGUUAGGGGGUUUCCGCCCCUUAGUGCUGCAGCUAACGCAUUAAGCACUCCGCCUGGGGAGUACGGUCGCAAGACUGAAACUCAAAGGAAUUGACGGGGGCCCGCACAAGCGGUGGAGCAUGUGGUUUAAUUCGAAGCAACGCGAAGAACCUUACCAGGUCUUGACAUCCUCUGACAACCCUAGAGAUAGGGCUUUCCCUUCGGGGACAGAGUGACAGGUGGUGCAUGGUGUCGUCAGCUCGGUCUUCAGG